UACGUAGGGAGCAAGCGUUGUCCGGAUUUACUGGGCGUAAAGGGUGCGUAGGCGGCUUUGCAAGUCAGAAGUGAAAUCCAUGGGCUUAACCCAUGAACUGCUUUUGAAACUGCAGAGCUUGAGUGGAGUAGAGGUAGGCGGAAUUCCCGGUGUAGCGGUGAAAUGCGUAGAGAUCGGGAGGAACACCAGUGGCGAAGGCGGCCUGCUGGGCUCUAACUGACGCUGAGGCACGAAAGCGUGGGUAGCAAACAGG
rnacentral:rRNA from 1 species